rnacentral:lncRNA from 1 species
AGCAUAAAUUAUGAAAAUCUUAUAAGAAAAAGGAUUAAAGAAAGGUUUUGGUAGAAAAAGGAAUAAUUAGGGCACCAAUAUAGAUGAAUGGAGAUGAAUGAUGAAAAUCUCCAUUCCUAUUGGUCAAAAAUCAAGACCAAUGGGCUUUGAGGAGGCUACCCGAGGCCAUAUUAGGGAUUAGGAUUAGUUUCUCGGAGCCAUUCAAGUUUUGAAGGCUAGGGUCACAAGGUUUAGAUUCUUGACUAUGAUUUUGGUGUAAGUUUUGUAUGGUUUGGAGUUUAUAUGAAGGAGAUACAAGUGCUCAAAGUUAAGGUUUUGAUUUGGGAGCUACUGU